rnacentral:sRNA from 1 species
AAAGCCACCCUACAGGGGGGGUGAGAACACCCGACCGGGGUUCGACAACUGGCGCAGCCAGUUGGACAAACGAGGAGACUGCCCGAAGGGUGAGCGCAGCGAGUCAAUCCCCCCCUCACCGCCA